GCUUCUCGUUCUCUACCCAUUUCCUCUCCUUCAUUGCGAUGGCCGACGCCUCCAUUUCCUCUCCUUCUUCGCGAACAGCCUACACCUAUCCUCUCCAAACAGAUCUGAAACCACAGCCGACGCCGACGCCGACGCCGACGACCUUCCUCGCCUGAGCUUCCAUCUGACGCCACCGCUGAAGCCUCAGCCGCCUUUCUUCCGCCGAAGCUGCCUCACUCGCCACCGCCACGUACCGACGCCAAACGCGACCGCCACCACCCUGGAGGUGCCUAUUCCUAUCCCUGAGACCGUGACCAUCUGAAGAACUUUUGGUAUCCUGUUGCUUUCUCCAGUGAUUUAUGGACGACACCAUGAUAUCAGUUGGGAUCCCUUUGGUUAAGGAUGCAUUGGCAGUUUAUAACACAUCACUCUUGGCUUAUGGACAGUACCAGUACUUACAUUUGGCUAAUUGUUACCAAACUGGGAGUGGAAAGACAUACACAUUGUGGGGACCUCCCAGUGCAAUGGUUGAGACUCCAUCAACCAAUGGUCUUCAGGGCAUUGUUCCAUGCAUUUUCGAGAUGUUGUUUGAUAACAUUCAGAGAGAGCAUGAGAAUUCUGAAGAUAAAAAAAUAAGUUACCAAUGCCGUUGUUCAUUCCUUGAGGUAUACAAUUGCCAUGAAGAAUGAACCAAUGAUCAAUGAAAUCACUGAAGAUGAUGUUAAUGGUCAGAGUGAUCAGAUUCGUCUACUUAAGGAAGAACUGAUCAAAGUCCAGUGUGAGUGAGUCUUAACCGCUCGCUGAUGUUACCCCGUAUUGAUAAUGAUUCUGAAGAUGAAGUUCACAUCAAUGAAGAUGACAUAAAAGAACUCCAAGUUCAGAUUGAUAGCAGCAUGCAUUAUUCAUAGGAGGAGAACUCAAAAGAAACAAUCGAGAACAAAGACUGCAGUAAGUUCUGCUCAGCUAAAGGUUCUGUGAUAGAUGUAAUGAGUGGACAUUACAUCAGUUGUUCAGAAGAAGAAGGUGAAAUUGAAGAAAUUAACUCUCAAGUAUUUCAGUCAGAGCUCCUCCAUCCAAGUAGAAUCUCGAUCAACACAAACCACCAGUGCACUGUUCUCCAAGAUCCUGUGUUGCCAUUGGUUGAGGACAUGGAUCAUAAAAAAUGGCGACAAUCAAUAAAUUUCAAAGAAAAGAGAUUGUGAACAAUAGAUUGUUAAAGAAAUCCAGGGAGAGGUCGACUAUAGCAUAUUAUUUUGACAGACUGGGACAGGACCUAUGGAUGGAUGCGACGACAAUACAAUGAAAGAUAGGCGUUAUAGGAGUCAAAACAUCGGGAGACUUGGUGAUAGCAAGAUUGAGGCUCCUGACCUUCUUUGUCUCUUCUUUUUCUAUUAAUAAAUUUAUUAGUCUAGGAGACAUUGGCUAUGAAUAAUUUCUAUGUAUUUGUGCUAUAAAA